GUAACCCUAAACCUUGUGUUUUUCUACACCUUUUCAUAGGGUUUUUCAUACUCUUUCUCUUCUACACCUCAAAAGCCCUUAAAGGUCUUUCCUUGGUAUAUUUUCUCACUAGCUGGACGGGUGGAAAAAGAGAGGGAGAUUGUCCACAAUAGCUUGGAAGCUUUUGAAAAGGAAUUCAAUUACAAAAACCACCAAGGUUCCAACAAGGCCUCACAUGGCCAUUUGAAGCAUUAGUUGAGGCUAAAGUCAAGCAAAGAAUCAACAAGAUCGAUUCUGAGGCAAUUGGGACCUAGAUUGGGUGUCCACA